AAAUGCUGUUGUUCACCAAGUACACCCCUUCAUGGAAACGGGUUCCCUGAUGGCAGUGGCCUCUUUCAGCAGGAUAAUGUGCCCUGCCUCGCUGCAAAAAUGGUUCAAGAAUGGAUUGAAGAACACAACAAGGAGUUUGAAGAGUUGACUUGGCCACCAAAUUCUCCAGAUCUCAAUUCAGUCAUUGGAAAAACAGGUCCAAUCCAAGGAUGCACCAACUCACAAUUUACAGGACUUAAAGUAUCUGCUGUUGACGGCUUGGUGCCAGAAACCACAGCAAACCUUCAAAGGUCAAGUGGAGUCAAUGAGAUCCCGGUUCAGGGCUACUUUGACUGAAAAAUGGAAACCACCUCAAUAUUAAGCAGGUGGUAAUAAUCUUAUGGCUGACUGGUGUAAAUGUGACAGUUGAGUGAUGGGAAGGGACUGAAGGUCCAGAAGCAUCUGGUGUACUCGUGGAGAAUGGAAAUGAAUGUUGCUGAUGAAGUGGGAAUGUGGCUGGAGGGAGGGACAGAAGGGCCAAGGCAAAGCAAAGACAUCAGCUGCUUUCUCCUGUUGCUUUAAACCUUCUUAUAAACGUGGAACUUUGGCUGUGGAUUAGUUUUGCUGCUCUUUUCUUUGGUAAGACACAAAGAACAACAUGUUUUUAUUCUUCUUCACAUGUUUUCAAUCAUUUCUUCUCAGGUUAACUGUAAUCUAUCUGAUAAUAAAUAUUAAAGCGGUCACAGCAGAUUCACAACAAUUAGCACCUUUUACAUGUCAGGGAACAAAGUGGCUCCUCAUCAGAUGUGAAAGAGGAAACCCGUCAGCUGAAAUAUGUCAUGAUGACGACAUACAAGACAAGUUGUACACGGAAAGGAGAGUGUCAGUAGGAUGUGUUGAGUGUCAGGUUGUCAGUCAGGGGAACAACACAGGGCUGUGAAUGAGCCCUGUCACUGUGAUCAGGCUCCUCCUUCUAAUCCACCAACUUAGUGUUGAUGAAGACCAAACAGAGAGAUCACAGCCUUCUUUAUACUCGCUGGAGCUCACAGUUACUCAGCACUGCAGACAUGACGCCUCUGUUCACCUCACUGUUGCUGGCUGCUAUGUGCUUUGAAUGCAGAGCACAGAAAGACAACGUGCUGCAACCAAAAGAAGAUGUGACUGCUGCUGAAGGAGAGGCAGUAACACUUGGCUGUCAAUAUAACAGCAGUGGAACCAAUAAUUAUCUCUUCUGGUACAAACAGGAGGGAAACAACAGCCCCAAAUUCAUACUGAACCGCAUUAAAGAGAGUUCAGGGAACACACCAGACGAGUUCAAGGAGAGGUUUUCAUCCACACUGGAUUCCACCUUAAGAUCAGUUCCUCUGAAGAUCCAGAAGCUUCAGCUGUCUGACUCUGCUGUGUACUACUGUGCUCUGAGGCCCACAGUGACAGGAAACACCAAAACUCUGUACAAAAACCUUUGGAGCAAAGACAACAGAAUACUCCACAACAUCCACUAGAGGGAGUCACACACUGUUACACUGCAGUGGGAUGUGAUGGUAAAGUCCAGAAUCAUCUGCAAAAGGCACCAGAAAAUGAAGCCUUAAACUUGCAGUGUGUACACAAAUUGAAUGAAGGAUCUCCUGGUCAGCAUCAAAGUCUC